rnacentral:rRNA from 1 species
AGUGAACGCUGGCGGUAGGCCUAACACAUGCAAGUCGAACGGCAGCACAGUAAGAGCUUGCUCUUACGGGUGGCGAGUGGCGGACGGGUGAGGAAUACAUCGGAAUCUACUUUUUCGUGGGGGAUAACGUAGGGAAACUUACGCUAAUACCGCAUACGACCUACGGGUGAAAGCAGGGGAUCUUCGGACCUUGCGCGAUUGAAUGAGACGAUGUCGGAUUAGCUAGUUGGCAGGGUAAAGGCCCACCAAGGCGACGAUCCGUAGCUGAGCUGAGAGGAUGAUCAGCCACACUGGAACUGAGACACGGUCCAGACUCCUACGGGAGGCAGCAGUGGGGAAUAUUGGGCAAUGGGCGCAAGCCUGAUCCAGCCAUACCGCGUGGGUGAAGAAGGCCUUCGGGUUGUAAAGCCCUUUUAUUGGGAAAGAAAAGCAGCAGGUUAAUACCCCGCUGUUCUGACGGUACCCAAAGAAUAAGCACCGGCUAACUUCGUG